GUGGGGAAUAUUGCACAAUGGGCGCAAGCCUGAUGCAGCGACGCCGCGUGAGCGAAGAAGGUUUUCGGAUCGUAAAGCUCUGUCCUUUGGGAAGAAAAAAUGACGGUACCAAAGGAGGAAGCCCCGGCUAACUACGUGCCAGCAGCCGCGGUAAUACGUAGGGGGCGAGCGUUGUCCGGAUUUACUGGGCGUAAAGGGUGAGUAGGCGGUAACGUGUGUCAGAUGUUUAAUCUAUGGGCUCAACCCAUAUCAGCAUUUGAAACUGCGUAACUUGAGUGCAGGAGAGGUAAGUGGAAUUCCUAGUGUAGCGGUGAAAUGCGUAGAUAUUAGGAGGAACACCAGUGGCGAAGGCGACUUACUGGACUGUAACUGACGCUGAGUCACGAAAGCGUGGGGAGCGAACAGG
rnacentral:rRNA from 1 species